rnacentral:rRNA from 1 species
AGCUCCAAUAGCGUAUAUUAAAGUUGUUGCGGUAAAAAAGCUCGUAGUUGGAUUUCUGUUGAGAACGACCGGUCCAUACAACGUGUGCGCAUCUGGUUCGGUCUCGGCAUCCUCUCGAAAAACGACUCUGCGCUUGAUUGCGUGGAUCGGAUUUCGGGACUUUUACUUUGAGGAAAUUAGAGUGUUCACGGCAGGCUAUCGCCAGAAUACAUUAGCAUGGAAUAAUACUAUAGGAUCUUGAUUCUAUUUUGUUGGUUUCUAGGAUUGAGAUAAUGAUUAAUAGGGACAAUUGGGGGCAUUCGUAUCAACACGUCAGAGGUGGAAUUCUUGGAUUGUGUUGCGACGAACUACUGCGAAAGCAUUUGCCAAGGAUGUUUUCA